GCACCCUCUUCGUGUUUUUUCGCCCGACGCACAGAUUCAACUUCACUCGACAACCUUCGACUCCCCCAGUGGCCUACCACUCACCGCCGGCGACCUUCGACUCUCCCGAUAGCAAAUCUACUUCACCCAGUCGGCGAUCUUCGAGUUGUUCCCCCGAAUGCAUAAAGAUCCUUUCCUCUCUGCAGAGCUAGGUCUUCUUCGUGUUUUUUAGCCUUUCGCCUUCUGCUUGUUUUUUCGCCUGACGCAAACAAUUGACUUCACCCGGUGUUAUUUGACUCCACCAGCGACAAAUCUACUUUACCUGGGGGUCGUCGUUCAGGUUUUCUACAGCUCUAGGUUUGUUCCCUCUCCGACCCCUUCUUUCCUUUCCUCUCUGCCUUGCUGUUAGAUUUCUUUUCCUUUCAUCUCUGUUGCGUUGUUUCUAACCAAUUGUCUCUAACCGAUCCUAAGAGGCAAGUCUUAUUCUCUAUUUUAUUGGUAUUAUUUUUUUUUUUGGCAUGAUCUCAUAAACUAAAACCUGAUGGAGCAAGACAAGAAUUGUACAUAUGAACUAUUGCUAGGGGUAUUUAAUUUCUUGAUAUUCAUUGUACAACAAGAGAGAUUAUUGGUAGGGUUGCUUCAGGAGCUAUUGCAAAGAAGAUUCUUAAGAUGUAUGCAGGAACUGAGAUUUUGGCAUAUGUUUCUCAAGUUCAUAAAGUUGUGCUUCCUGAAGGUGUUGUUGAUCAUGAGACAGUGACCCUUGAUCAAAUUGAGAAUAACAUCGUCAGAUGUCCGGAUCCAGAUUAUGCUCAAAAGAUGAUUGAAGCCAUCGAUGGAGUUCGAGUUAAGGGAGACUCUGUUGGAGGCAUAGUGACAUGCAUUGCUCGAAAUGUUCCACAAGGGCUUGGAUGUCCAGUCUUUGAUAAAUUGGAAGCUGAUUUGGCAAAAGCUAUGUUGUCUCUCCCUGCAACGAAGGGAUUUGAAAUUGGCAGUGGUUUUUCAGGUUAUUCAUGAAAAACAAAAAGAACGAACAAUGCAUUAUAAAUAUUAUUUCGCAAAGGUUACAUCGGCUUAGAGGUUGAAUUGCGGGAGAAAAAAUUAAUUGCUGAAAAUGAGGAAGUUGAUAGAUCGUUGCUUUGGCAUAAAGCUCGCGAGGACAAAUCUGGCAAUAUUACAAAUAUAGAGAUAGCAAAAGUCGUUGAAAAAAUUGAUGACUUGUUGGAAAAGAAGGUCAAAGGAGAGUUCAAGUCUUCUGGGAUGAACGAUGUGUUAACCACUACCUUAGGAAAUCGAGAACACUAUGGACGAGUUAGAGGUGUGGGAGGAUGUGUAAAACCCCAACUCUACUUUAAAACUGAUAGAUAUUUGUGAUAUAUUUGUUC